AGAGAGAGAGAGAGAGACAGAGAGAGAGGGCGGGCGACACAAGACCCCGCGGCCGCUCGUCCACCAGACGGGCUGUGUGUUUUGGGCCCUGUUGUCGUCUGCUACACGACGAGGGUCGUCUGUCCGUUUGAGAGGACGACUAUCCUGCGAAUGUCCCCGUCCAGCUAAACUGUGCUCAUUCGAUUCUACUAUUCAACAAUCACGGUGUGGGUGCUAUUUCCAACUAUUCGAGGAGUGGAGAACUUUUCGAAUGCUGUGUGGUUUUUACAGAAUAUGGAUUUCAUUCUCAUUUUUCUCAACCCGUCGUAACAUUAGGGUACAUAUAGUAGUAGAAAUCACUGACGUAGAUACAGCAAUACAUAGUACUUAAUGAUUAUAAGGCAGAGUGAUAAGUGAAGUCGUGGGUAUUAAACAGCGAAUAUUGUUGAUGGACUAAUAACAUUAAAAAAUAAUAAAUCUUACGCGGUAUUCGAUUAGCACGAAUAGUGACUCCACACUUCGAUGCAUCGACUUGGUUUCGUUUCGUUUCCUCAAAAUCGCACAGCGAGCGCUACCCUCCAGCCUCUCCCCCGUGUCAUUACAAGUCUUGAAGUAUAGCCCCAACAAGGACCCUUGCUCGGAUCUGACCCCGUGGAUCAGGUGAUCAGUAGUCCCACAGCAUCCCCCUCAGCAGAGAGUUCUGUUGUUUUGGCCUUAAUGACAGGUCACCAUUGAUGAUGUGACUGAUUUCAAUUACUGUCGUCUGGUGCCCUUCAGGUUCACAAAUCCCGACGACACAUCCCUAGCACAACGACGCCUGUCUGGAUACCUGUUUGGAUAUAACCCUCCGCCGAUCAUCUUCUGCUGUUCGCCGAAUCUGAAUGUCUUGACGGACGGAUUACGUUCUGGUGAAGUCAUAACGAAGUCCUCUGGCUAUAAUUCAGGCAGAAGUAGGUCUUCAUAGCGGUCUGGUGGCUUUCAUAUCUGGAGAAACAACAUAAUACUUCACUUCUAUUCCCCUCGGAGAUUUGAUGUGAUAAUAAUAAUAUUACAAUAUAAUACCAACUGGAACAUCCGUCUCUGGUCUUUAUUUUAAAAAGACAACCAAGUUUCAAUGGAUUUACUUAUCAAUUAUUUUCUAUUUUGAUAUCAGCUGAUGCGAAUCCUAGCACGAGGAAUGAACAACGGACUUACUUUCAACGCUUUAAGCUCAUAGACAGGGAUUCUCUCAUAUGAAUGGCUGCCUUUAUAAGUUCAAGGUUUCGUAGAAGUUGAUAAAUAUUGCCGUCUGAAAGGACUUAUGUUAUAACUUACUGACCUAUUAUUUUGAAACAGUUGUAUCCUGUCGCUGCUACUACGUCUUUGUAGAACACACGUUGACUUGUGCAAACUGUACAAAUUGAUUGAGUCUGAUGAUUAAGUAUUUUCUUGAAGAGUGUAACGACCACAUUUGAACGAAAACAUAGCUCUGCUUUACAGAAUGACCCUUCUGUUGAGGUAUGUUACAAUAAAUUAUCGAGUCCAAAUUUCAAGAGGAGAUCACUCCUGAUAUGUUUUCUAACAGAAGUCAUAUGUAAGGAGUGAGUUCUGCACGUAUACAUUUUCUCUAAAUCCGUGUUUCUAAUUUUGUGAAGUGUUCGCAUUAACAUUUGCUUAUUUCUAGAUCAGCAACUUAUUUUAGAAUGGCUAACAUGUGUGUGGUCGUGGUUCCAAAUAAAAUAAUGUGUCUGGUUAAACUUUCUGGACUAACAGCUGUACAGAGAAAAUUACAUGGCAUGUAUAGUACUCAACAGAACUCAUUUAGCUGGGCCUUGACAAAGAUGAACGGUCAAUUAGGAAUAACGCGAAACUUGCCAGGCUCACUAUAUGAAUUGUUCUGAUAACACAUCUUUGACGGAGUUCGAGCCCUGUCCUCAUGUACACGAGAGCAUUAAAGCAGAACACUUUCAACUUACAGAGGAGUUUACUGCACAGAGAAUGCUUGGAGCUCAGUGGAUGUGAGGAUUAAUGGCAGUCUUUCAGGGAUCUUUCCUUUACCUUUUCGAAACUAGGAUGUCCCUUUUCUCUGAAACGGCAAACAAUACAAUUGUCGGGUAAAGGACGUAAAACUUAAUCCCCCACUAUAUGGAGGCAACGUUUACACAUGAUGCGGCUCUAAAUAUUCGAGCUGAUUCGGGAAAUGGUAAAAAUCAGCUAUAUUUUUACUAUUCUUUCUGGAUUAAGCACGCCUGAGUUGCAACAAGACGAAAAAGAAACCAGUGCGCUUGUAACAAAGAAUGGAUUAUAUUCACGACGUGUUGUUGUUAUUUCAUUUUCCGGCACGUGAGUUCUGAAUAUUGCAUCAACUGCAAAGGAUAAAAAUGGUGUGUGAUGUUGCGGUUAUUAUAGAAUGUGAGCAGAGAAUAUUGUGUGAGAGUCUUACUCUCAAAUUUUGCUUUCUUCUUUUCGUGGGUGAUUUUUACAAAUGUGCUAGAAAAGCUACUUUUACUACACCGAUAGAUAUUUUAUGCAAAUUUCGUGGCAUCUAAAAAUGUGAGUAGACCUGUUUUCUUUUGUUUUCAAAAGAGAAAAUUUGAUUUUGUGAGAAUUAUAAACCGUUACUUGGAUGUAUAGAUGUACAUCGGUUUGUCAAAUUCAAUCAAAUAACACACAGCGUUGAAAAAAUAUGUUUGAAAAUCUGUGAAAUUCAAAAUGACUUCCAAACUCAAUAUCAAAACGUGAAUUCGAGAUGGAUCUACUACUGUAUGAAUUCAUCCAAAGAACGAUUGAGUGUUCUUCUAUUCUAGGAUUACCGACAUCAGCUUGGCAUCAUGAUUGUGAUUUUCUCAUUAAAAGUGAGGACGUUCACAAAACUGUAUGGAUAAAAAUGAAAACAGCAGCGUCUUGCGAAAUAAAGAAUGAAAUGCUUACGUGAAUAUGAAAAGGGCAGAUAUAAAAAGGCUCAUAUCAUUAUUAUUUCUGUUUCUAUGCAAACGUGUUAUACCAGUCUGAGGAAGAUUCACAUUCACAUUUUGCAGAACAAUUGGUGUAAAUUCUGUGCCCAGGUCUUCUUUCAAUCACAGUGACGUAUGUCACAUCAAUCAUGAUCUGUAUAACCCAGGAAAGGAAGAAAUGAAAGUGCUUCAACCCGGAGUCGUGAGUGCAGUUUCCUGUCAGUGCCACGCUUCUAGGGAAUAGUAUGAUCACGUGAUGUAGUUAUAUUUUAGUAAGAGUUUUACGAUACUUGUAACUCAAAUAGACGAUGUAAGGGAUGCAAGAGGUGUUAUUUGGAAGUAACAUAUAAAGAAAAGAAGGAGGAGAUAUAUUUCAUUAGAAAGAAAGAGCAGACCAUAUCAGAACACCCGUCAACCACACACGAUCAGAGUUGAUAAAAUCCAUGGGAAUAUAGUCCAGAAUUAGAAUCAGGAAUUAAUUAUUAUUUUCGUUUCCUCGUAACAUCACGAAAGAGACAUGCAGCUCAAAUUCAAUUUGCAGAGUCUGAAUCCUGGAAGCACUCAACUUCACCCAGGAAUGUGUGGGAGUGAUCCCCCAGUGAUACGCGCUGAGGAAUUAUUCUGUGUAGACAUCCUGCUAAUUCCUCCUUCGUGCUUCAUAUCGUUUUUACUUUUCUUUUCUAAUGUAAGUGUUAUACGUCCCCAUCAACAUACUUUAUAUUAUUAUCUCUUAAGAGGCAAGGUUUGACCCUGUAUUGAAAGGACUAACCCAGGAUGGGUUGGAUACAAAUUCCCCAGCAGAAAGACCGGGAUAUUUUAUUUAAAAACCAAA
rnacentral:lncRNA from 1 species